UAACCUGCUAAAUAGCCAGGCUAUCUUUUGAUGGUCGCCGGCUUCUUAGAGGGACUAUCGGCUCAAGCCGAUGGAAGUUUGAGGCAAUAACAGGUCUGUGAUGCCCUUAGAUGUUCUGGGCCGCACGCGCGCUACACUGACAGAGCCAACGAGUAUAAACCUUAACCGAAAGGUUUGGGUAAUCUUGUUAAACUCUGUCGUGCUGGGGAUAGGGCAUUGCAAUUAUUGCCCUUCAACGAGGAAUAUCUAGUAAGCGCAAGUCAUCAGCUUGCGUUGAUUACGUCCCUGCCCUUUGUACACACCGCCCGUCGCU
rnacentral:rRNA from 1 species